rnacentral:misc_RNA from 1 species
UCUCCGUAGGUGAACCUGCGGAGGGAUCAUUACCGAGCGAGGGCCCCCGGCCCGACCUCCAACCCUUUGUGUUUCUGACUGUGUUGCCUCGGGGGCGACCCGGCGCUUCGGCGCCAGGGGGUCCCCGCUGGUCCACACAACUCUGCAUCUUUGCGUCUGAGUAAACAUUAAAUGAAACAAAACUUUCAACAACGGAUCUCUUGGUUCUGGCAUCGAUGAAGAACGCAGC